ensembl:ncRNA F13H6.25 ncRNA
AUUGGCGGAAAGUGAAUGGGACACACAGGAAAAAAAUGAAAGCGAAGGGAAGAGGAGGGAGGAGGAUGAUGGGUGGGACGGCGACGAUACAUAUCGCGACAGUAACAAACGAAGGAUUACGCAAGCGACGACGAUGGCAGUGAGGCA